rnacentral:rRNA from 1 species
AAUGAACGUUGGCGGCGUGGAUUAGGCAUGCAAGUCGCGCGACAAGGUUCCUUCGGGGACUGGAGGAGCGGCAAACGGGGUAGUAAGGCAUCGGAACGUACCCUCUCGUCUGGGAUAGCCACGGGAAACUGUGAGUAAUACCGGAUGAUAUCGAGAGAUCAAAGGUCCGCCGCGAGGGGAGCGGCCGAUGUGAUACCAGCUAGUUGGUAGGGUAAUGGCCUACCAAGGCUUAGACGUCUAGGGGGUGUGAGAGCAUGGCCCCCACCACUGGGACGUGAGAUACUGCCCACGACACCUACGGGUGGCUGCAGUCGAGAAUCUUCGGC